UACGUAGGGUGCAAGCGUUGUCCGGAAUUAUUGGGCGUAAAGAGCUCGUAGACGGUUUGUCGCGUCGACUGUGAAAACCUACAGCUUAACUGUGGGCUUGCAGUCGAUACGGGCAGACUUGAGUUCGGUAGGGGAGACUGGAAUUCCUGGUGUAGCGGUGAAAUGCGCAGAUAUCAGGAGGAACACCAAUGGCGAAGGCAGCACUCUGGGACGGUACUGACGCUGAGACGCGAAAGCGUGGGGAGCAAACAGG
rnacentral:rRNA from 1 species